rnacentral:rRNA from 1 species
CCAGACUCCUACGGGAGGCAGCAGUGGGGAAUAUUGCACAAUGGGGGAAACCCUGAUGCAGCGACGCCGCGUGAGUGAAGAAGUAUUUCGGUAUGUAAAGCUCUAUCAGCAGGGAAGAUAAUGACGGUACCUGAGUAAGAAGCCCCGGCUAACUACGUGCCAGCAGCCGCGGUAAUACGUAGGGGGCAAGCGUUAUCCGGAUUUACUGGGUGUAAAGGGAGCGUAGACGGCAUGGCAAGUCUGAAGUGAAAGGCCGGGGCUCAACCGCGGGACUGCUUUGGAAACUGGUAAGCUGGAGUGCAGGAGAGGUAAGUGGAAUUCCUAGUGUAGCGGUGAAAUGCGUAGAUAUUAGGAGGAACACCAGUGGCGAAGGCGGCUUACUGGACUGUAACUGACGUUGAGGCUCGAAAGCGUGGGGAGCAAACAGGAUUAGAUACCCUCGUA